rnacentral:rRNA from 1 species
CAGCAGCCGCGGUAAUACGAAGGGUGCAAGCGUUAAUCGGAAUUACUGGGCGUAAAGCGUGCGCAGGCGGUUUGUUAAGACAGAUGUGAAAUCCCCGGGCUCAACCUGGGAACUGCAUUUGUGACUGGCAAGCUAGAGUAUGGCAGAGGGGGGUGGAAUUCCGCGUGUAGCAGUGAAAUGCGUAGAUAUGCGGAGGAACACCGAUGGCGAAGGCAGCCCCCUGGGCCAAUACUGACGCUCAUGCACGAAAGCGUGGGGAGCAAACAGGAUUAGAUACCCGCGUAGUCCCUGUCUCUUAUAC